GCUUGUAUCAGAAUUCUCCAUUUCACUCAUGCAUUAGAAUCACUUGGGGAGUUUUUCAUUUUUUAUUUUGUUUUGUUUUUGUUUUUGUUUUUGUUUUUUUCCCAGGUCAGGAAGCCCGGGCUGAGUUUCAAGUGUUUUCUUAAGGCUUCAUGGGUGAUUCUGAUGCAUGGCCAACGUGGAAGUCUCCUGAAACUCUGUUUCUAUCCAGAAACUAAGAGGAGCAGAUGGACCCAAACUUCUUCUGAUUGGAAGAUGGUCUUUUUGUCUUCAGUGUCGCCUCGCCCAUGUUUUCUUAUCUCCUAACUCAGUUCCUUUUCUCUACCCAUCCUUCACAUUUAUGUAAACUGUUGGGUAAUGUGAAC
rnacentral:lncRNA from 1 species